rnacentral:lncRNA from 1 species
GAGCGAGCGGCGGGUGUCCCUGAGAGGCCACCUUUCGACCUUCGAGGGCCAGGAGGAUACGGGGAGGUGGCCGGAGGGAGUUCCCGAACACAGGUCUUCCUGUUCCCGCCGAGCAGGUGUUGGCGGUGCCAGGCCCGGCCUGGCGGGCCCGGGCUGGCAGCCAAAUACCCAGCGUCUGUGCUCGGGACGGGAGUGUUCGUCCAGGACGUGCAGCUCCGGAGCCUGCGCGGGCGACCUUGACCACCUUUGUCGGCUGUUUCCCCCUGAGGGAAGUAUACCUGUCCUGCCAGCCUUGGUCUCUGGCAGGGAAGGUCCUUCCAACAGAGAGGGAAUUGCUUAGAAUUGACUCAACACUGCCUCCUUGCUGAAUGGAUAAUUCAAGCAAACAACUCAAGAGCUGGAUGCUGCCCAGACAGGUAGGCAGCCAGAUAAAGUGAGUGUCCAGGGAAAGAGCAGUAAGGGUCAGAAGAGAAAGAGCCUGGUGUUCUCACUGCCUCCUGCCUUCCUUAUGACUGUCUGUUCAGAAGUCCUCCUAGCAUCUUUCUUCUGCCUUCCCCUGCUCCUGUCCCUGAAACCUUUUCUUCAAAAGAAGUGGAAAAGAGGAACUGGGAACCCAUAUAGCAACAGCAUCACCUGGAAUGAAUUCCUUUAGAACAUACUGUCUUGGAAAUCUGAAGCCUGCAGGGCUGGACAGGCAAGAAGAGCAGUGAGCACUGCAUGAACCUUUCUCUCCUUCCCUCCCUUACGUAUGACUCCUCCCAUAAUCCGCACACAUGGAUUGAACCAAGUGAGGGUAUUUUUCUGUUUCCUACCUCAUAGAAGGGCAUAGAGUGGACACGGUCUAAGGCAUGUACUCCGAAAUAUUUUUCAAAUGGAAAAGAAAACAGAGAACACAAUUUUCAAAAUAUCUAGAGCCCUCCAAGAAGUCUUUGUAGAGAUCUAUAAAAUCUCAAGGCAAUUUAAAGAAUAGAAAAAUGUUUUAGAAACACUAUUCUCUCCACAUCCUGGGGCAGCAGCCUUCUCCAAAGAAACAGAAAGAAGGAAAUGGAUUGCCUUAGCAAAAAAACAAAUGAAGACACUCCAAAUAACAGAAGAAUGGGAAGGCUACAGACCUUGAAGUCAGAAGAAAAUUUCCUCUCCUUGCCCCGUUUCUCCUUAAAUGGAUCACCAGUACAGUCUCUUACUUCUAGAGCCAUGUUAAGCUUUCUUCCCCAAAGUUGUAAUGUCCUUCUUUUGGUUGUGUCGUGUCCUAAAAUCCUACUCUUUGGUACAAGAUGAAGGUAUAUGAAGAGAUAAUGAAGGAAACAAAUUCAAUGUGUUUGCCAAGAACACAGUCUUUUAAAUAACUCUUAAAGGGUUCGUUUAAAACAGUGUAAUAAAUUGUGGUAAUCUAGUACACAAAGCUAGUAGGAACCUCGUUUAUUAAUAAUAUUUCAACAUUGAGCAGUAGAGGGCAGCACUAUCCUUCUUUUGCAAAAUGUUGAGCACUCUUGAGAAGGAAAAUAAAGGCAAAGCUCCUGA